rnacentral:lncRNA from 1 species
GGUUUAGAAAUUUUCACUUAGUUUAUGGUAAGUGAUUUUUUAAACUAAAUUUCCUGGUAAAAUUAUCCAAGUAAUUUACUUUUCUUCAAUAAUUUCUUCCCUACACAGUUUCAGCUACAACAGCUACCUCCAUAUUAAGCACCGAAGCAGCAAUAACAUUGGUGACCAGGAGCUCAGGUGCAGCAGCUUCCAUUCCAGUGAUUACAACAUCAAGCAGCGAAACAAUAGGUGGGUGAAUCAGAAAACUUGUAAAAUGACAAUGCAGGGUUUUUUU